ACUUUCUUUGACAACAUAGAUAUUGCCAUUGGAACUACAGAGAUAAGAUUAGCAUGGGCCCUGCACAAGAAUGAUACACAAAUUGGGCAAGUAUUCCUUCUUAAU
ensembl:snRNA Gm22699 U6 spliceosomal RNA